UGAAAAUGGAAACAGGAUCUUGCUUCUCACUGUUUCACAACUGUACUUAGCAGUGACCUUUGACUUCCAUUAAGAUGCUGUGGAAAACUUAGGGACCUUAGGUACAUAGCUCACUGUGGGAAUUUCUUUUUUGUUUUGUUUGGGUUGUUAUUGUUGUUGUUGCUUUCCUCCUAGAUUUUGGAUUUCCAUGGGGGCCAUGAUGUCAAUUAAGCUACCUCAAAGACCUCUGAGAGACCUUAUUUGGCAAUGAUGUUAGAGGCUGAGAUUUGGCUGGGGCUACUGUCACAAGAAGAAAAAGAGAGCCAUCUGGAGAGUUGUAAUGAUACCACAAUUUUGAUGGAGGGAAUGAUUUCAUAUUAA
rnacentral:lncRNA from 1 species